rfam:Hypsibius dujardini strain Z151 scaffold0001, whole genome shotgun sequence.
AUCGGAUAUGGUGACAUGACGCCCAAGACCUACGCCGGGAUGGUCGUCGGUGCCUUAUGCGCCUUAGCUGGUGUGCUGACAAUCGCACUUCCGGUCCCUGUUAUCGUCAACAAC